AGUGAACGCUGGCGGUAGACCUAACACAUGCAAGUCGAACGGCAGCACAGUAAGAGCUUGCUCUUACGGGUGGCGAGUGGCGGACGGGUGAGGAAUACAUCGGAAUCUACUUUUUCGUGGGGGAUAACGUAGGGAAACUUUCGCUAAUACCGCAUACGACCUACGGGUGAAAGCAGGGGAUCUUCGGACCUUGCGCGAUUGAAUGAGCCGAUGUCGGAUUAGCUAGUUGGCGGGGUAAAGGCCCACCAAGGCGACGAUCCGUAGCUGGUCUGAGAGGAUGAUCAGCCACACUGGAACUGAGACACGGUCCAGACUCCUACGGGAGGCAGCAGUGGGGAAUAUUGGACAAUGGGCGCAAGCCUGAUCCAGCCAUACCGCGUGGGUGAAGAAGGCCUUCGGGUUGUAAAGCCCUUUUGUUGGGAAAGAAAAGCAGCAGGUUAAUACCCCGCUGUUCUGACGGUACCCAAAGAAUAAGCACCGGCUAACUUCGUG
rnacentral:rRNA from 1 species